rnacentral:lncRNA from 1 species
CUAAUCAUGCUUAAGAAUUCCACGGUCCUUAUUCAUCCAAGCCACCCCAUUCUUCUUUUAUAUCCUACACCAUUUUUCACCCAAAUCCCACCUCUCACAUUCAUCAACCAUCUCUAUCGCAGCCAAGAAACGACAUCACAUCCUUCAUCAUUCAAGGUUUCUAUUCUAAUUGAUAUGUUAUGAUAUCCUUCAAUUUGUAUAUAUCAACUCCAGAACACCAACAGAGAAUCACCAAUACACAUGCACAUGAUUAUUUGAUAUUUCACUAUGUGCUUACAAGAUAUGACAUAUGAACUGAAAUAUUAAAACUGAGUGUUUAAUUUGCAAGGAAAGAAAUUCAGAUUUCAUUAAGAAAUUACAGUUUGAGAAUGAUAUGUGCUAACAAAAACCCUAUGCUAUUUUGUGAACUGAAUAUGAGGCUUGAACCCCUGUUUUGUGUGUGAGUCGAGAGAGGGAGAGGGCAGCCUUGGUGACUCGUCGUCGCCGGCGGUCGACGGACGGCGACGGAGCCGCGGUGGCUUCCGAUCUGCCAAAGAGGGGAAAGGAGACAAGUAUUUCAGUUUUUAAUUUAGAAAAGGGAAAAGAUGAGGGAAGGAAAAAAAGAAGAAAAAGAGAAUAGGGAAUUAGGGCUUACCUUUAAUUCGACGGACGACGGAGGCGGCGGCCCCCUGGCCGUCUGUCCACCGGCGAAGGGGAGGACGACGCGGCAGCGCGGCUUACGCCGUGUCUGCGUGCGCGUGUGUGUGUGAGUCGGUGAGAAAGAGAGAAGGUGAGAACGAGGGAGAUGGCGAGAUGAGCGACGGCGCCGUGGUCUUCAGGCCGCGGCGGAUCUGCCGCGAGAAUGAGGGAGCAGGCGGCGGCCCGGCGAUGGCGGCGCACCGCGGUGGUGGUGUCUGCUGCGCCUGGGUCCAGCGGCCGAGAGAGCGAGAGAGAUAGAGGGGAAGAGAGGGGGAAAGAGUUCAGGGAGAGAGGGAGGGGCCAACGCGGGCCUCCGUCCGGCGGGCACCGCCGUCGGGGCGGCGGCGGCAGAGCACCGAUAUCGAGAGAGAGGGUGCGUCUGAUGCGUGUGUGUGAGUGUGUGAAGUUGUGGCUGAGUGUGUGUGUUUAAAUGUGUUUUAGUGUGUGUUUAUUUAGGGUUAGCAUGAGAAGUGGCUUGGACCUCAAUUUUGUUUUGGGCUGAGAUUUAAUUGUUGAUUGGGCUCGGCCCUUUACAAAUAAAAUGUGAUGGACCUAUUAAUUUAAUUGUUUGGGCCUUAUUCAAAGAAAAAUAUGAUGAACUUAGUUUACCUAAUUAAUUUGGGUUUAUAUCCAUUUAAAUUAUUUAAGCUCUUAAUUAUUAAUUUAAAUUGAGCUUGAUUAAUUCAAUUAUAUAUUAACCUUUAAAUUAAUUAAAUAAAUAGAGUCUUUUAUUUGAUUAUUUAUAAAUGAAUUUUUAAAAUAAAAUAUUUUGAGUUAAACUCUUAUUAAUAUGGAUUAUUUGAAAGGAUUAAAUUGUUUUAAGUAUGAGAAAGCAUGAUCUAUGAUGAUAUAAUUUGUCUAUGUGAUAUUAUAGGAUUUGUUUUUAAAUGACGGAAUAUUUGACUUGAUGGCGUGAGUAGAACGAGUUAUGAUUGAUGCGCAUGUUGAUGUUCUAAUAAAUAGUUUCGAACCUAAAUGUUAGUUAUGUGAUAAAUGUUUUGAGUUUAAGGUUCUGAACGAGACAAGAUUAAUAUGGAUGCUAGAACCCUAAAAUCUUUAAAGGAGAUAGUUUAGUUUAGAGACCUAUCUUCCUUUCUUUCACGACUUCUUCUCGAACACUACAACAAAAACUCUAAUAGAAACCGUUAAAUAGAAACCGGUUUUUGCUAAAAACCGGUUUCGUAGCUCCAAAAACCGGUUUCUUAAAUAUAACCGGUUUCUAUUUCAAAAAAAUGCGCUGAUAGAAACCGGUUUUUUACUACCGGUUUCUAUCAUGUGGUGUUAUAGAUAUAUUAUAAAAUCGGUAUUCGUUUAAAUAUUUUAAACCGGUCUGAAACCGGUUUUAAAACAUAGAGUAUUAAAAAAAAAUUGAAAAAAUGAAAGAGGUGAAAUAAUUACGUAUAGUGUAACAGUGCCCUAAUUCUCCUCCCUCGCUGCACACAACUUCCGCCACCAUUCUCCCCGC